UCGCAGGAAGGUAGUCCAGCCCAGGCGAUGGUUGUCCUGGGGUAAGCAUGUAGGGCGUGUCGUAGGUAAAUCCGCGGCAUUUAAGCCUGAGAUGUGAUGCCGAGCCGAUUGUGGUGAAGUGGAUGAUCCUAUGCUGCCGAGAAAAGCCUCUAGUGAGUGUUGUGGCGGCCCGUACCCUAAACCGACUCAGGUGGUCAGGUAGAGAAUACCAAGGCGAUCGGGUGAACUGUGGUUAAGGAACUCGGCAAAUUGCCCCCGUAACUUCGGGAGAAGGGGGACCUCUGUUGGUGAUGGGCUUUACGCCUGGAGCUGGUGGGGGUCGCAGUGGCCAGGGGGAAGCGACUGUUUACUAAAAACACAGGUCCGUGCGAAGUCGUAAGACGAUGUAUACGGACUGACGCCUGCCCGGUGCCGGAACGUUAAGGGGACCGCUUAGCUGACGUGAGUUGGCGAAGGUGAGAACUUAAGCGCCGGUAAACGGCGGUGGUAACUAUAACCAUCCUAAGGUAGCGAAAUUCCUUGUCGGGUAAGUUCCGACCUGCACGAAUGGCGUAACGACUUCCCCGCUGUCUCAACCGCAGACCCGGCGAAAUUGCACUACGAGUAAAGAUGCUCGUUUCGCGCAGCAGGACGGAAAGACCCCGGGACCUUCACUACAGCUUGACAUUGGCGUUUGGAACGUCUUGUGUAGGAUAGGUGGGAGACUGGGAAGCUGUCACGCUAGUGAUGGUGGAGUCAUUGGUGAAAUACCACUCUGGUCGUUUUGAACGUCUAACUCUGGUCCGUGAUCCGGAUCGGGGACAGUGUCUGGUGGGUAGUUUAACUGGGGCGGUUGCCUCCUAAAGAUAACGGAGGCGCCCAAAAGGUUCCCUCAGCCUGGUUGGCAAUCAGGUGUUGAGUGUAAGUGCACAAGGGAGCUUGACUGUGAGACUGACAGGUCGAGCAGGAGCGAAAGCUGGGACUAGUGAUCCGGCAUCGGCGUGUGGAAGCGGUGUCGCUCAACGGCUAAAAGGUACCCCGGGGAUAACAGGCUGAUCUUCCCCAAGAGUCCAUAUCGACGGGAUGGUUUGGCACCUCGAUGUCGGCUCGUCGCAUCCUGGGGCUGGAGUAGUCCCAAGGGUUGGGCUGUUCGCCCAUUAAAGCGGUACGCGAGCUGGGUUUAGAACGUCGCGAGACAGUUCGGUCCCUAUCCGCUGCGCGCGCAGGAGACUUGAAGGGGGCUGUCCCUGGUACGAGAGGACCGGGACGGACGAACCUCUGGUGUGCCAGUUGUACCGCCAGGUGCACGGCUGGUUGGCUACGUUCGGAAGGGAUAACCGCUGAAAGCAUCUAAGCGGGAAGCUCGCCUUGAGAUGAGGUCUCCCACCACGAGAGUGGGUAAGGCUCCCGGUAGACGACCGGGUUGAUAGGCCGGAGGUGGAAGCACGGUAACGUGUGGAGCUGACCGGUACUAAUAGGCCGAGGACUUGACC
rnacentral:rRNA from 1 species